rnacentral:lncRNA from 1 species
CUUAAACAUAAAUGGCCAGCGAUGGGUGGGGGUGGGGGGGAGCAUAAAACAUCUCAUAAAAAGGCUCGGAGUCCUGCUGGACAUCAAAGGCUCUCGAGGAGCUGGCUGCGGAUGAGUUCAGGAUUCAUCACAGCGUGCCAAGGCCUCUCCGAGAUGCCUGCCCCCAGGAAGCCCUGGCCCCACCAUCAUCACCCCUCUCUGUGGCUGGGCCUGCAUCUUGUGGAGUUCGGGUGUGUGUCCCCAAAACCGCUCCUGAUAAACUUUCCGUGGCAGAUCUCCAUCACAACUGGCUUCCUGGGGAACCCCCUGUGACAUAAGCCAAACAGGAAACCAAGAAAGAGCCGCUGUGUUAAAAACUUGUCUCUUGUCCGGUGUCUCCAUGCACAGUUCCAGGAGAGCUGGUUCCAGAACGUGUUUUAAUCCUAGGGACAGGGAGCUUCCUACCACCCCCUAAACAGGCAUCCAAAUCUGUCUGGCCGGCCACGUGCAAGCCCACGCACUCAGUCAGCGUGAGAGAAGAAAACAGUCCAGGACAAGGCAGAGCCCUCUUCCUGGGCCACGAGAGACAGAAGACCACAGAAAGAAGGCAGCCCGUCCACCGCACACCUCUAAGUGGGCUGGAUCCUGCCUGAUGACACAUGUGGCCCGUUGGUGGGUUUUCCAUCUGACUGGGACAGUAGCCCCUGACUUGGAGCUGAACCCGAGCCACACAAGUUAAGUUCCAGCCUCGACUUCAGAGACUACUGUUAAGUGGAUAGUCAUUUUAGUCCUAGGAGUCUCGGUUUUCUCGUCUAUAAAAUGUCACCAAUGGCCCCAUCCUGCCUAUCUCCUGGGGUUGGGGUGAGGAUGCCCCAGAGAACGUGUUGGGAAAGCUUUGUAAGCCCUGAGGAGGUGCACAAAAGCGGAAGCCUACCGUUACGGUGAUGUUGAACUGUUUCCCACAGCUCGUCUGGCCUCCCUUUCCAGAUGUCACCUCCAGGGAGGGCUGGAGUCAGGCGCUGCUCACUUGGGUUUCCCUCCAGCCAGCAGAGCCAGCCGGGACACAGGUGGUGGCCAAAGCUGGCUGGAUGAAGGAAGGAAGGACGGAAGGAUCCAAGCACCCUUGCCUUUUUCCCCAGGCCCAGAGGCACACAGACAGCUAUGAGGGCCACCGUGACGUGGAGUCCAGCCCAGCCGUGAGGAGACCUCACCUGCCGUCCCUCUCUGUAAUCCUUCACGCCUUGCAGAUUGGUUUCUGUGCUGUCUGUGGUUAGGCUGAGACUCAGGAAGGGAAAAGGAAAAGGGGACCACGGUCACUGAGCCCAGGCACUCUGAGGACUUCACCUCACCGAUGGCUCCCAGCGCCCAGGGCCACCACUCCUCAAUGUCCAGCCUGGACACUGCACCGGGACGCCCAGCUGAGACUGUGGGGGCUCAAGUCCAGCCUGCAGUCCACUCGCCAAGCCCCGCGCCCAGGAGGGCACUUUCUUCUCAUUCAUACGAAGGCUGCUUCAGGCCUGACCCAGCCUUACGAUUUGGGCAUGCAGAUCACCCCUUGCAUGAGAUGUCAGUUAGAGUUCUUUUGAUCUCAAGCAGCGGUGACAAAUACAGCAAAAGAAAAAAAUUCGUUAGAAGGAUCCUGAGAGGCCUGGUGGAAUCUGAGCGAGCAGCUGGAAAUCCCAACAGGCAGACCAGAAGGACAGAGUCCAGGACUGACUGGGACAGCUCUGAGGACCCCCCGAAAAGGCUUUCCAUCCAGAACUCUGCCAUUAAAUUCAUUUGUCUUCUAGUCCCUCAGUUAAUUUCCCAGAUUCCUGAGAGAGAGAGAACAUGAUUGGGCAACUUGAGUCAAAAUUCUGCGCUUUCUUUAUUUAAUUGUUUCC